GAUGAACGCUGGCGGCGUGCUUAACACAUGCAAGUCGAACGAGAAGUGAAGACGGAAACCUUCGGGCGGAAGGCUUUAUUUCGAGUGGCGGACGGGUGAGUAACGCGUGGGUAACCUGCCUCAUACAGGGGGAUAACAGUUGGAAACGACUGUUAAUACCGCAUAAGACCACAGCACCGCAUGGUGCGGGGGUAAAAACUCCGGUGGUAUGAGAUGGACCCGCGUUCGAUUAGCCAGUUGGCGGGGUAACGGCCCACCAAAGGGACGAUCGAUAGCCGAGAAGAGAGGAAGACCGGACACUUUGGGACUGAGACGCAGCAGGAACUCCUACGGGAGGCAGCAGUGGGGAAUAUUGCACAACGGGGGAAACCCUGAUGCAGCUACGCCGCGUGAGUGAAGAAGUAUUUCGGUAUGUAAAGCGCUAUCAGCAGGGAAGAAAAUGACGGUACCUGAGUAAGAAGCCCCGGCUAACUACGUG
rnacentral:rRNA from 1 species